CAGGGUCAGCCUUGAUUUUCCAGAAGAGAAAAUAAGGCACAAAAGGUGGAAUGACUGCCCAAAGUGAUCCAUCAGGCUGACACAGAUUUGGAAAUAAAUCCAAGUUUCCUGAAUCCCAGCCCAGUGUUCUGUCCUUAGCAGUAAACAGCUGGAUAUCUUAGCCAACAAAGGACAACUUUACCCAAUCAUUCACAUGACUCUGAAACCAAAGGCCCUCUGGAAAACACUAGAUUUGACAAAUGAAGCAUCUGUGUGAAAUAUAUCAAUUAAAUUGCACAUGGAAAAGGCAAAUCUGAGGCUCUUUGAGAAGAGAUUAUAACAGAAGUGUGAUUUAGAAUAUAAGCACUGAUGAAGAUUUUGGAAAAGUAUCCUUCCUUUCUUCAUGAAAAGCAGAAAUCUACCACUAUUUCAGACCUUCAGAAGCCUGAAGCAUUCCACGGAUGUCCUGAGUCCCUUCUCUGGUCCUGAAACCAGGUGGCACAGUAUAAUCAUAUCCACCCUGGAAUGGUAAACUUGCCCUGGAAAUAGGAUGGCCAUAACCAAACUGCCCAGAAUUAAUAGUUUGUCCUACAUUAAUUCUCAAACUAUUCCAGGAAUUACCUGGAAGGCUGCUUAUGCACCAUGGCUGUGACUGCAGGCGACCUAAUUCUGUCUCCCUGCAUUUCCCCUGGCACUGUCUAUUUAGCAGAUAAAACAGAGCCAAUAAUGACUUCCUAGCAAAAACAAGAUGCUUUUCAGGUGUGAUGGACAAACAAAGAAUGGACAAAGGAUGAACAAAGAAGAAUGGAGAGGGAAGUUAGGGACAACGUUCUUAACUGGGAAAGCAGGGAGCUAGCAGUGUUGUAGAUAAACGUGAGCAAUGUAGGAUGUAAGAAGAGAGGAGGCUGCAAUAGUCAAGUUACAAAAGGCUGACAGAGCUAGUGGAAGGUAUGGAGCAACAUCUGUGUUUUAAAGCUACUAGACAAGAGGAAACUGAAGUUCAAGUCAGCCCUGGGCAGGGGCUCAGUUGAAGACAAUUCUGAGAUCUGAGAAAUGUGUUUCUGUUCUUGUUGAGCAGAAAGGAAGUAGUAGGGAGGGCUAAGGAGACCAGGUAUUCUUGGUUAUGGUUAUACAUCACUAAGCUGGAUACCCAGAAAGUAGAGGCAAGCACAUGGCCUGAAAUCCAUCUGUCUAGACUUAGAUACCUGAAUACCUGGAUGUUUAGGAUAGAGGGUCUUCCAGACAUUGCCAGCUGAGAAGGAAGCCUGCAGUUUAUCAUCUAGAUAAUCCAGGAUGAGCAUCCAACAGUCAGAAAAGAGCCAUAGAGAUUGGAAGUGAAGCUGUCAAAGGUGUCUGGAUGGAGAACCACCCCAGUAACACACAGUAACACACAUCCCUGUCCUACUGAUGUGCUGGUGAGUCACAGCUUCAAUGCGUCCAAGCUCAGGAGUCAAUAGUGGGUGCAAAAGUCAUUCAAGAUGCCCUCUUGGCAAAGCAUCUGUGGUUAGAAGUGCUGCAGUCCUUCUAGACAGAGAUCACAGAAGCUACAAGGAACCCCAAAAAUCUCUGAGAAACAGGUUGAGUCCCUCCACCCAGUCAUCAUCUAAAGGACUGUAGAGGAAGGCCACAAUGUCUGCUACAGUAGUGUAGCCAGCAGGAUCUUGCCACCAGAAAAGAGCCUGGGAAACUGUUCUGUCAUUUAUGGGAGUAAUCAAACUAGAAAAUACAUGUAGGCCACAACAAAUAAUCACUCUUUCACAUGACAGCACACAGAUAUGAUUCGCAUGCUGUAUUCAUCUAGACAACUGAAUUUUCAGAGGCAUACAGCUCUUACACCUAAAUGAGCAAGUUCAUUAAUGUCAGCCUCUUGGUACAUAAUCACUGCAUAACCACUGGAAGACAAUCUGGGGUUUCUGAUGAAUCAGGGACCAUUUCCUCUAGGCCAUCUGGAGGCUGCAGCCCCUCUGUUUUGAACGUUUCAAAGAUAUUGGCACAGUCAAAACAUGCUGGUAAAUUUCAAGAGCAAAGAAUGGGUUUGGUACUGUUCAGGGUUCUAGUCCAGAUGUAUCCAUUCUGGGAUGAAUAACAGUUUUGCUACAAGCAAUUUUGCUGUUUCUUAACAGAAGUCUAAAGUAGGCAAACUUCAUACUGGUGGCUAAAGUUGUCAUUUUGAAGUGUGAUGUGGGUAGUAAUAUGGUACAUUCAGUUGUCCAACAGCUGACGCUUUGCAGUUCUGUGAAUACGGUAAUGUAUACAUAAAUAUUUUGGGGAAAAAAAUACAUUAUAACAUUUAGCUUUGCCUGGCAAAUUAUGUGUGCAACUUAGUGUAUGUUUAACUCUGUUUCCUCAUACUGACUGAGAGCCACAUGGACAGACAGCAUGCUGGGGAUUUAAUUUUUUAAGAAUGUUCCUAGGGAAAAUGAUCUUAAGGACUGAGAAACUCCUGGAAGCUUUUCUUGCACUGAGGUGCCAAAAGAAAACAUGAGAUUUGAAAACUGAAUCCUGAAAGUGUUUGGGCUGGCAGCCAGCAUAUGGCUCAAAGUUUGCUGUUAUCUUUUCUCUCAACAUGGAGACACAGUCCUAUAAUGGCUUAAAGAGCACAGCUGCCCAUCUCAAACACUCCUAAGUCCAGAAGAGCUUUGCAAUAAGACAAGCCAGAGUGGAGUAACAGGAUGACAUUAACUCUAGGCUUGACAGAGGUGAGAUCUGGUUAGUACAUCCCAUGUAAUCCAUCCUUACAAAAAUUCCCCCAUGACAAACUGUGUAAAGAAGCAGUUGUUCAUGUGGAUAUCCCCAGUCAAAGAAAGACCACACCAAAUUAUGGGACAGAGGGCAUCUGUGCCCACCACUGAAGCUCACCCCCCAAAAUAUCCCUUGAAAUUUGGACUGUAAGUUGAGCCACCACAAUGGGAACUUGAGAUAAAGGUCAAGGUGGUACUAUUGUCCAGAUGUUAUCUCAGACCUAGGAGGAAGUUAACAAAGAUGGGGGAAAAGGAUGCAGAGGGACAGUCAGAAUCACAAUAAGCCCUCAUGCUGUACUAAACUAGAAAUGCCUAACAGGUCACUGUAAUACUUGCUUCUAAUACAUGCACCCUUUUAUACAGUUGUUGACCAAGUACAGCCACCA